GACGAACGCUGGCGGCGUGCUUAACACAUGCAAGUCGAACGGAAAGGCCCUGCUUUUGUGGGGUGCUCGAGUGGCGAACGGGUGAGUAACACGUGAGUAACCUGCCCUUGACUUUGGGAUAACUUCAGGAAACUGGGGCUAAUACCGGAUAGGAGCUCCUGCUGCAUGGUGGGGGUUGGAAAGUUUCGGCGGUUGGGGAUGGACUCGCGGCUUAUCAGCUUGUUGGUGGGGUAGUGGCUUACCAAGGCUUUGACGGGUAGCCGGCCUGAGAGGGUGACCGGCCACAUUGGGACUGAGAUACGGCCCAGACUGCUACGGGAGGCAGUAGUGGGGAAUAUUGCACAAUGGGCGGAAGCCUGAUGCAGCAACGCCGCGUGCGGGAUGACGGCCUUCGGGGUGUAAACCGCUUUCGCCUGUGACGAAGCGUGAGUGACGGUAAUGGGUAAAGAAGCACCGGCUAACUACGUG
rnacentral:rRNA from 1 species